rnacentral:rRNA from 1 species
GACGAACGCUGGCGGCGUGCUUAACACAUGCAAGUCGAACGAAGAGCGAUGGAAGCUUGCUUCUAUCAAUCUUAGUGGCGAACGGGUGAGUAACGCGUAAUCAACCUGCCCUUCAGAGGGGGACAACAGUUGGAAACGACUGCUAAUACCGCAUACGAUCUAAUCUCGGCAUCGAGGAUAGAUGAAAGGUGGCCUCUACAUGUAAGCUAUCACUGAAGGAGGGGAUUGCGUCUGAUUAGCUAGUUGGAGGGGUAACGGCCCACCAAGGCGAUGAUCAGUAGCCGGUCUGAGAGGAUGAACGGCCACAUUGCGACUGAGACACGGCCCAGACUCCUACGGGAGGCAGCAGUGGGGAAUCUUCCGCAAUGGACGAAAGUCUGACGGAGCAACGCCGCGUGAGUGAUGACGGCCUUCGGGUUGUAAAGCUCUGUUAAUCGGGACGAAAGGCCUUCUUGCGAAUAGUGAGAAGGAUUGACGGUACCGGAAUAGAAAGCCACGGCUAACUACGUG